UUCAUGAGAAGAUGCCUCACCUUUUGCUACAAAACCAUCCAAGAAGGGGAAUGCCAUGGAAACUGCUGAGCUCUGGGCACUGCUUGCCACCAUGCACUGCAGGAGCCAGGCACUGGAGAAGCCUUGCAAAAUGCCGGAGCACAUCAGAACCAGGAAACAAAAGACCUUCCUCCUGUAAUGUCUCUGCAGUGCUCUCUUCUGAUAAAGCUUCAGUGCCUACUGGCAAAGGAAAA
rnacentral:lncRNA from 10 species